UUUUUUUUUUUUUUUUUUUUUUCCCAUAACACACAAGCUAAGUUUCCAUUCCUAUCCCUUGACCCUCCUAGAUCUAGGCUUAUAUUUCAGAUAGCAUUGCUCAGAGCUGUCUGGCCAGAUAAUGAGCAGACCUGUCUGAAAAGCAGGAACAAGCAAGAGGAUUCAUUGCAGCCAUGGGAACUACAAAAGCAGUUCAGCUGAAGCACUAGCUACAGCACUGUACAAAUUGGGCUGAGGCUGCACCUUUUCCAUGGCCUACAGCUAAGUUAGGCAACAGGAAAUUUUCCCACACUUUCUGGAAAGCAAGGAGUUAAUGCUUUAUGAUCUUUACAUACCUUAGCUCUGAGCCACAGAGUUUAAAAGCUUGACAAGCGACCACUUCCAUAAGACUCAAAGUUUCACUUCUACUCCAGCCAUUUAUGAUGAUGUAUGUAGGGCAUCCUAAGGGGCAGAAUUCAGACUGAAUGCUGGGUUAAAUAACAUUCACCAAACUCACACUGGGAUGAGCACUGUAAUAAAGACAGGUAGACUUGAUAGCCUAACUGUUCAAAAAAACAUAAAAUUAGACACUGUUAUUCUUAGCAUACAUUCUAGGGAUGUUUCAAAGAUUGGUACAUGUUCCCAGGUCUGAAACUUCGUGCAGUAAAACUAAUCCUCUAAAACCUUAGUUAGACUAACAGAUCCUGAGGCUGCAGUAGAUUCUUGCAAAUACAUUAAGAGUUGCUAAGAUACAGAGGCACGUCUGUUAAUAAAAUACAAAUCCAUUCUCCACUCUCAAUUUCUCCAGAAUACCGUACUUAACACCCUCUUAAUCCCAACCAACUUGAGCCUAAUUGAUUAAUAUGUUUCCUGGUGUGAUGGAUGAAAAUCAUAGGUGCUUAUGUUACAAACAAUUAAAAACUAUACUGAGCUGUACACACAGAAGGGUAAAACUGAAAAGACUGAUGAAGAAGCCAUUUUUUCCCAAGAUUUUUUGAAGUCUCUGCCUGAAUGAUGAGGUUAAUUCUAAGAGAGCAUGUCAUGCCAGGUCUUCUUAAAUCAGAUUUAUGUGACUGUAGCCAACAAAUAACUUUUGAAAAUCUGCCAUUUAUUUGUUAAUGUUGUUUAUUGUUAUUUAUUUAUUGCUGUUGUUACUACUAGAAGUCAAGAUGUAAGGAUGGUUAAUGAAACAUUAGCCAAAUUCCACUGUAGUGUAUCUGAACAUGUAUGAUACACAUAGAUACAUGGAAAAACUACUUUAAAGCCAGAGAUAUGACCAAAGCCUUAAAAUCUGUACGUACCACUAGAUGGUGUACAAGGCUACUCCAUUGUAUCUGCUCUGUCAUUAUAUUCUCCAAAGGCUCUGAGUUCAUCAGUAACACUGUUAAUGAAAUCUUAAAGCUUGCACUCCAAAAGAAUUAGAUUGCUCAUAUUCAUAUGAAUAGAGCUAGUUCAAAAUCAGGCACAAAGUUGAAUUUGGCUUUCUGAUCAGAAUAUCCAAUGUGAUAUGAGUUAAGUUUUGCCUGUGUCCGCUGUUUUGUGUGUUUUGGCUUUUAUACUGUUUCUCAGUGAAGAAGCCAUCCAAGGUAUAACAUUUUGACACAAUCUUUUGCUCUGCUCAGAAUUUCCUCCUUUUUUUUUUGGUGAGGAACUGUACCUAGCAUCCAUGAGGUAUCAGAGAAGAGUUUUAACUGCUUAUUCAUAUUCACGUGCUCACUGAUAUCUUCAAAAAUUUCUAAUAAAUUUUAAAGGUGAGAUCUCCUUCUACAGAAGUUGUAUGUUUUUCCCUACUGUCACUAUUAGUCACUAUUAUUUAAGUAUCUACUAAUUAAUUUCAUUUAUUUUACAGCUUCAUAUCUUUUCACACUGUGUAGAUCUGUAGCUUUUCAAACCCCUUCUGUUCCUCAAAUCUUUGCUAGAAGUCAUCAUAAUCAUUUCACUAUUAUGCUAAUACCUACUCCUUUAAGCAGCCUCAAAGAAGAAUGAGCACACAAACAGAAGAAGCAAUUUCAUAUUUGAUUACCUUAUCAGUCUUAUGUAUAAAUCAUUGGUCUUGCCAGUUUUUUAUGAUCAUUUUAUCAAUUUGUCCUAAGACAUCUCAGCUGAUCCUUUAAAUGAUAACUGUUCCUGUGACUGUAAGUGAUAAUUCUAGUGAAACUGAGAUCAGGAGCUCAGGUGGGUCUAGGGUUUGAACAUAUAGGGGUAAAUAAGCUAGCUUUGAAAACUAGGGAAGGAGAAUGACAUCUCAACAUUUCAUGGUCAUCUGUGCAAACACAAGGAAGGGAACAAUACAAGAUAGAUGUCUGUGACCAGUUUCAAUGCACCGUGAAGAGGUCAGACCAAG
ensembl:lncRNA